AAAAAAAUGCAGCUGUAAUUUAAAAUAAAUAAAAAAUAAAAAUAUUAUCAAACCCCAACUAAAAUACAAUCUGAAAAAAUAAAAAUGAAAAAAGUAAUUUAUAUAAUUAUCACCUCUCUCUCUCUCUUUCUUCUCAAACAAUCAGACCAUAACACAAAAAAAGCCCUAACUUUUCUCUUCUUUAUCUCGCCUCUCUCUCUCUCCCCUGUAGCAGCCGCAGAACUCCCAGCCACCUCCGGCGACCUUGCCCACCUAUCCUUUUUUCCCUCUUUCUUCCUCUCCGGCGGCCUAGACAUAUGGAGCGCCUCCACAAACAAGCCAUUCCCUUCCAUAGGUUCUGUCAGGGUGUUGGGCGUUCCAGUCAAGUCAGCCACUGCCUAGCCAUGGCUCAAAAUCUCCAAAACAAUCUGAUGACACAGAAGAAUCGGAGACUCGCAUAUUAGGGAAGCGAAAGGAGAGGUCGGAUUCCCAAAUUUCAGUCAAUCCUCUUACUCCGGUUAAUGAUGAUUUUAGGUAGUUCUAUUGUAAUGGUUUUUCUAGUUGCUGUAAAAUAUUUUUAUUAUAUAUAUUCGUAUAUAGAAUAACCUUCUAUUGCCACAUUGAGUUGACUGUGUCUGAGAAAGACGAAGCUGUCAAGAAAGAGCUAAUUUUGUUUUAGAAUAUUGGUAACAAUUAAUGAUAAUAUCUUUGUGUUUGGUUCUCAAAAAUUGCACUUUCAGCAUUACAGGCCGAGACCCAGUUAGCAACAAACAAAUAAAAAAAAAAGCCCAACUUCGCAGUGGUGCUUCUUCUUAAAAGUUCCAUUCAUUUAGAUCUAUUUUUUUUGUUUUUGUAUUGUUCAUACCAAUUUUUGGGUUUGUAGUCAUAUUUUUUUUACUGUUAUUGUAUUUUGUUUAUGUAUUUUAUUUAAAUUAUACUUGUAUUUUUUUAAUUACUUAUUAUGUAUUACUGCUGUUAAUUAUAAUGUUAUUAUUUUUUUGUAUUUUUUUGGUUA